rnacentral:rRNA from 1 species
AUUGAACGCUGGCGGCAGGCCUAACACAUGCAAGUCGAGCGGAUGAAGGGAGCUUGCUCCUGGAUUCAGCGGCGGACGGGUGAGUAAUGCCUAGGAAUCUGCCUGGUAGUGGGGGAUAACGUCCGGAAACGGGCGCUAAUACCGCAUACGUCCUGAGGGAGAAAGUGGGGGAUCUUCGGACCUCACGCUAUCAGAUGAGCCUAGGUCGGAUUAGCUAGUUGGUGGGGUAAAGGCCUACCAAGGCGACGAUCCGUAACUGGUCUGAGAGGAUGAUCAGUCACACCGGAACUGAGACACGGUCCAGACUCCUACGGGAGGCAGCAGUGGGGAAUAUUGGACAAUGGGCGAAAGCCUGAUCCAGCCAUGCCGCGUGUGUGAAGAAGGUCUUCGGAUUGUAAAGCACUUUAAGUUGGGAGGAAGGGCAGUAAGUUAAUACCUUGCUGUUUUGACGUUACCAACAGAAUAAGCACCGGCUAACUUCGUG